GAAAUGCGAUAAGUAGUGUGAAUUGCAGAAUUCAGUGAAUCAUCGAAUCUUUGAACGCACAUUGCGCCCCUUGGUAUUCCAUGGGGCAUGCCUGUUCGAGCGUCAUUUGUACCCUCAAGCUCUGCUUGGUGUUGGGUGUUUGUCCCGUCUCCGCGCGUGGACUCGCCCCAAAGUGAUUGGCAGCCGGCGUACUGGUCCCGGAGCGCAGCACAUGUCGCGCAAACGAGUGCCUUGGUACGGCGGCGUCCAUAAGCCCCUCUCUCACGCUCUUGACCUCGGAUCAGGUAGGGAUACCCGCUAAACUUAAGC
rnacentral:misc_RNA from 1 species